CCUACGGGAGGCAGCAGUGGGGAAUAUUGCACAAUGGGGGAAACCCUGAUGCAGCGACGCCGCGUGAAGGAAGAAGUAUUUCGGUAUGUAAACUUCUAUCAGCAGGGAAGAAAAUGACGGUACCUGAACAAGAAGCCCCGGCUAACUACGUGCCAGCAGCCGCGGUAAGACGUCGGGGGCAAGCGUCAUCCGGAUUUACUGGGUGUAACGGGAGCGUAUGCGGUUUAGCAAGUCAGAAGUGAAAGCCCGGGGCUCAACUCCGGGACUGCUUUUGAAACUGUUGAACUAGAUUGCAGGAGAGGUAAGUGGAAUUCCUGGUGUAGCGGUGAAAUGCGUAGAUAUUAGGAGGAACACCAGUGGCGAAGGCGGCUUACUGGACUGUAAAUGACGCUGAGGUUCGAAAGCGUGGGGAGCAAACAGGAUUAGAUACCCCUGUAGUC
rnacentral:rRNA from 1 species